rnacentral:rRNA from 1 species
GAAUAUUGGACAAUGGGCGGAAGCCUGAUCCAGCCAUGCCGCGUGUGUGAAGAAGGCCUUUUGGUUGUAAAGCACUUUAAGCGAGGAGGAGGAGCUCUUGGUUAGUACCCAAGAUGCUUGGACGUUACUCGCAGAAUAAGCACCGGCUUACUAUCGGACGGCAGCCGCGGGAAUACAGAGGGUGCAAGCGUUAAUCUGAUUUACUGGGCGUAAAGCGCGCGUAGGUGGCCAAUUAAGUCGAAGGUGAAAUCCCCGAGCUUAACUUGGGAAUUGCAUUCGAUACUGGUUGGCUAGAGAAUGGGAGAGGAUGGUAGAAUUCCAGGUGUAGCGGUGAAAUGCGUAGAGAUCUGGAGGAAUACCGAUGGCGAAGGCAGCCAUCUGGCCUAAUACUGACACUGAGGUGCGAAAGCAUGGGGAGCAAACA